UGGGGAAUAUUGCGCAAUGGGGGAAACCCUGACGCAGCAACGCCGCGUGAAGGAUGAAGGUUUUCGGAUUGUAAACUUCUUUGAUGAGGGACGAACACAAUGACGGUACCUCAAAAACAAGCCACGGCUAACUACGUGCCAGCAGCCGCGGUAAUACGUAGGUGGCGAGCGUUGUCCGGAAUUACUGGGCGUAAAGGGAGCGUAGGCGGACUUUUAAGUGAGAUGUGAAAUACCCGGGCUUAACCUGGGUGCUGCAUUUCAAACUGGAAGUCUAGAGUGCAGGAGAGGAGGAUGGAAUUCCUAGUGUAGCGGUGAAAUGCGUAGAGAUUAGGAAGAACACCAGUGGCGAAGGCGAUUCUCUGGACUGUAACUGACGCUGAGGCUCGAAAGCGUGGGGAGCAAACAGG
rnacentral:rRNA from 1 species